rnacentral:sRNA from 1 species
UCGAAUGAUUUGUGUCCACGUUUUCCGC